CCAGGCUUGUCUUGAACUCCUGGACUCAAGAGAUCCUCCCAUCUUGGCCUCUCAAAGUGUUGGGAUUACAGGCGUGAGCUAUUACACCUGACUUAAGUCUCCAUUUUCAUAUCUAUACUUUGGGAUUCCAGAAGACAGAGGUUUGAGUGUAAAACACAAAAUAACAAAACCACAACAAAAACAACUCUGUAUUCUCGUCCCCACCAUUACCAUCUCUCCUUUGUGAUGUCAAAGAGACCAGAGGAAGUGGACAGACUCGGGGAAGAAUAGGUAAGUAUUAGAGACAGAAAAAGUAUGAAGUCCCUUCUGUGAGGACUAACAAUAGUGAUGCCAUUUUACAACCUUGAUGACUGUGUUCUCAAGAAACAAAGCAAAUGUCAACCCCGUCCAUAGCUUCAACAGAGCAUAACAGCUCUAACCGCAACAGAGCCUAACGGCCCUAACCACAUCUGUCCCCAGUUGGAAAGUGUCCAAACAGUUCCAACUAGCCAGCACUUCCCCAACCCCUCCCCAACAGAAAUUUUAUUAUAAAAGCCUCAGCUUGUAAGCGAUCAGGAUCUCAGCCAGAUUCCUAACUGGAACUCUUCGCAGGCUUUUCCUGUAAAUAAACCUGUUUGGCCGUGGAAUUGCCUCCUGUUACUCGCUCUCUACGUUUAUAUCUUCCUAACACCUUCCG
rnacentral:lncRNA from 1 species